ACUCACUCUGACUCUCUCUGGUUCUUCCCCUUUUCUCUCGUUCUCUGUCGAGCCUUGCGGUCGAGCUUCCCUGAUUUGAUGCCGUCCUCCCCAAACUGGUGCAGCUGGCCGCUCGUCGGCGCUCCCCCGGUCCCGCUCUGCCGGCACCCUGCAGCUGUGUUGCCUCCUUGCGGCCUGCUGCGCCGUUGCGUCAAACCUAACCCGACCACGGGAGGAGAGUGGGGCACGGAGGCAAGCCGGUGGCUCUGAUACCAUCGGCGAUUGUCUUCCUACAGACUUCGCUCCAAGGAAGGCGGUCGCCAACUGGCGGGGGCGUGGAGCGACAGGACCUGAGGCGCCAUGCCGCCAUCAGCGGUGCUCGGACGAAGGCGUAGCAGCCCCCUGGUGCAACGAAACGGCGGAACGGUUGUUGAUCGACCACAGUUGGAUCCGUGGCGGUGGUAGCCGCAAGCCCGCGACUUCUGUCAUCCCGUCGCCGGUGGGCGGAAGUUUGGCACAAAGACUCUCGAGUUGAGAUUGACGCAGCAGUACCCGUCACAUGGAGUGAGGAAAAGAAGAUUUGCUGAGGUUGUUAAUUCAUGUAAGAAUAAAGGAAGAGAAUCAUUACCAUCAGGGGACUCGAAGGGCCGUGUUGCCAAAGACUGCGUGACUCCAAGUAUACGGCCCCUAAGGAAGGUAACUGGAAAGGGUGAACCUUCACUCCCAAA